UACGUAGGGUCCGAGCGUUGUCCGGAAUUAUUGGGCGUAAAGGGCUCGUAGGCGGUUCGUCACGUCGGGAGUGAAAACUCGGAGCUUAACUCCGAGCCUGCUUCCGAUACGGGCAGACUAGAGGUAGGCAGGGGAGAGCGGAACUCCUGGUGUAGCGGUGGAAUGCGCAGAUAUCAGGAAGAACACCGGUGGCGAAGGCGGGUCUCUGGGCAGUAACUGACACUGAGGGACGAAAGCUAGGGAGCGAAUGGG
rnacentral:rRNA from 1 species